AUUGAACGCUGGCGGCAGGCCUAACACAUGCAAGUCGAGCGGAUGAAGGGAGCUUGCUCCUGGAUUCAGCGGCGGACGGGUGAGUAAUGCCUAGGAAUCUGCCUGGUAGUGGGGGAUAACGUCCGGAAACGGGCGCUAAUACCGCAUACGUCCUGAGGGAGAAAGUGGGGGAUCUUCGGACCUCACGCUAUCAGAUGAGCCUAGGUCGGAUUAGCUAGUUGGUGGGGUAAAGGCCUACCAAGGCGACGAUCCGUAACUGGUCUGAGAGGAUGAUCAGUCACACUGGAACUGAGACACGGUCCAGACUCCUACGGGAGGCAGCAGUGGGGAAUAUUGGACAAUGGGCAAAAGCCUGAUCCAGCCAUGCCGCGUGUGUGAAGAAGGUCUUCGGAUUGUAAAGCACUUUAAGUUGGGAGGAAGGGAAGUAAGUUAAUACCUUGCUGUUUUGACGUUACCAACAGAAUAAGCACCGGCUAACUUCGUG
rnacentral:rRNA from 1 species